rnacentral:lncRNA from 1 species
ACCUAUUGCUCUUCCUCUUCCUUAGUCUGCUUCAUUUGCCUUGGUCUUCUUGCUCUUCUUUCAACAAACCAAAGCAAAUUCUUGCCUAAGAGCCUCUGUCCUGCACAACAACCUCUCCCUUAGUUAUGUGAAUGACUGGCUCACUCUGCUGAAAUUUUCACUCUGAGGGAGCUCUUCCAUCCGUAACUUUGUUUAAAUAAUCAAUUCCAGGCUCUUCACCCUUUUCUAUGCUUUAUUUUUAUCCAUCACACUUAUUCCCCAGCAUUUUACUAGGUAUUUCUUUAUGAUUUCUCUUCCAAUAGGAUAUGAGUCUUUAGGUGGUGAGGAAUUUCUUCUCUCUCACUUCCUGUUUUUCCUGUUAAAUAGAUGACAAUCUUGACAAUUUCAGUGUAACCUGGCAGCUUUUUGGCAUCUCCCUGGGGUGUUUGCUGAGAACUCAGUGCACCCUGACCUUCAGAUCCCUCUGAGUUGGUAAGCAAUCUUCCCUAGCAUUUAUUUAUGCUCAAGGAGGAGAACAAUGAGAAGCAAUUGAGACCCAAGAGAGCCUGUCGUGUGCAAAUGCAGAAGAACCAAGAAAGCUGUAAAAUUGCCUCCCCUCCCAGCCAGCCCUGUUCGGGAGAAUGGAACCUUCCAUUAACCCUGUUUAAGGGACUGACUUUCCACCUCUGGGUACAGCCACCAUGGUCAAGUCCUGCAUCUGGACCUGGGCGGCAGGAUGGGACCUGGGCUGGGGAGAGGAUGAAUUCACGUGCACCGAAUGUCUCAAAGGCAGGCGUCUGUGAGCCUGCGCUAGUUAAGGAAAGGAUGAUUUCAAGGCAGCUGGGGGUGACAACAGUGUGA